CGACCUCCUCCUCCUCCUCCCACAGCCGCGCCGUUCGCCUCCUGCAGCCGCGCCCUUCACCGCCUCCUCGCGCAGUCGGAGCCACGGGAAGCGGUCGCCGGGAGCCUCCCCAGCCGCGGGAGCCCGCCCCCGCUGCGGGUCGCCGGGAGCCUCCCCUGCCGCCCCCUUCGCCGCCUCCCCAGCCGCAGCUUGGCCGCUGCCACACCGCCUCCGCCACGCCUCGAUUCCUUCAUCCUCUUCCCGAGCCGCUGGCGUCCGUCACGCGCCCCCUACUCUUCUCCUCCAACCUGGCCAGUCCCCACACCCGGAGCCCCUGCGGAUCGAGGCGUCUUCCACGCAGAGGACGACGCGGGAAACCUCCAUUGCCCUCCAUUCUGACGGCCGCCCUACAGUUGCCCCGACACGAUGGUUCUCCUCUAUUGUUCUGAUCGAGCGACGUGUUCAUUUUUUAUAUUUUUUCUGUGGCAGAUCAUGACGACGACCCUGACAGGAGAGGAGGAGGAGGACACGGAGAAGAAGGACCGAGAGUUAGACAUGGAUGUGCAUUAUGAGGCAACACGCCGCCGUGUUUGCCCCACCAUCUUCUGAUCUCUUCAGCAUUCCUGCUGUCUUGGGUUUUCUCUGUAAGUUUGGGUCCGUAGGCACACACCCUCAUAAUCUCUGUCGCUCCCUCUAAUUUCUGUGGACAUACAGACACACGCAGUGUUUAGAACGAUGUCCGCUUCAGAGUUUCAGUUCAACUCACCCAGACAGAAAUACAUUCUAUCACUGGCUAAGCAUAGUACGAACUGGGUGGACAUGGAGUCAAGGACAUGGUAAGGAAGUCAAGCAAGUGGUUGAUUUGCUCUCUUCUUCGUUUCACCAUGCUGCACCCCUUCUAGCUUAUUAGUCGCCUCUUUCAUCUCUUUUCACUGUACUAACCUGCCAAUAUUUUCCCAUCUCUGCAACGAUUGACAUGUUUAGUUUUAGUUUUACAGUAGACCAGAAUGUAUGCUGAUCUACAGUGUUUCUUAAUUGUACAUGGUCUUCUCAACUUCAAGGUCAUAACCGAUUCAGUUUUGUUUAUAAUCUAUUUUCCCUAUCACUUUUUAACUCUUGAAUUCGCCAGGCCAACCAUCCUACAGUAGUGUAGGAAUUCAGUUAGCACGUCAUAACAUGUUAUUCUCUUUCGAUAAUGCUUUUGUUGGAUUUUUUAGGAACAAGGUGGCGAAAAAAUAAGUGGUUGUGGAAGCAAUGGUUUGUUUGGGGAGGUGGAGAACAUUUUUAUGUUAUUUUUGUCAGAACUCGGAGUCGGGACAACUCAACAAGGGAACGAGGAGCCUCAAGGGAGAUACCUGCAUAACACUGGAUGCAGUGAAGAAGGAAUCAGAAAUGUUCUUAUGUUUUAGUGGCGGAAUGGCAAGGCGGCCGGUUAGAUGACCUGGGUCCGUGGCGAGUUGGUGGCUCUCGACUACAAGAAGAUCAUUGAGGCAAUCGAUAGUAGAUUUCAACAAGAAUCUAUAAAGGGCUCUAAGGGAGUAGAGGAAUCAAAAGAAAACACCUGACAGUGCAAAGUGCACUUAGGCAGUAAGGUCAACACAAGACUACUCAUGAAACGAUACACAUACGAACUCCCGGACAUUGCAUACCGGGGAGCUUUCUUCUAUUUAGGAUUUAAGGCUGAUAAUAUGCUCACGAAAAGACAGGAAUGCAGCACCACUCCAAUCUUUAGAAGGUCCCCACCCUGUUCUGUGAUGAAUGUGGAUAAAGACGAAGCAGAGAACAUAAUAUCUUGGUGAAGGCAUCUCAACCGAGAUGAGACAUUGUUUAUUUAUUUAUGUCAUAUCCUACUCAUAGUCUGUUGUUCUGUGAGCAAUUGUUUGUUUUUUAACAGCUUACCAUUGAUAAUGAAUCGUGUAUGGUGGCUUUGUUAAUAUUCAAGUAGUAUUACAUAUUA